GACGAACGCUGGCGGCGUGCUUAACACAUGCAAGUCGAACGGAAAGGCCCUGCUUUUGUGGGGUGCUCGAGUGGCGAACGGGUGAGUAACACGUGAGUAACCUGCCCUUGACUUUGGGAUAACUUCAGGAAACUGGGGCUAAUACCGGAUAGGAGCUCCUGCUGCAUGGUGGGGGUUGGAAAGUUUCGGCGGUUGGGGAUGGACUCGCGGCUUAUCAGCUUGUUGGUGGGGUAGUGGCUUACCAAGGCUUUGACGGGUAGCCGGCCUGAGAGUGUGACCGGCCACAUUGGGACUGAGAUACGGCCCAGACUCCUACGGGAGGCAGCAGUGGGGAAUAUUGCACAAUGGGCGGAAGCCUGAUGCAGCAACGCCGCGUGCGGGAUGACGGCCUUCGGGUUGUAAACCGCUUUCGCCUGUGACGAAGCGUGAGUGACGGUAAUGGGUAAAGAAGCACCGGCUAACUACGU
rnacentral:rRNA from 1 species